GCCUCAGUAGCAUAGUGGCUAAUGCACCUGACUUGUAAUCAGGAGAUCGAGGGUUCAAGUCCCUCCUGAGGCU
rnacentral:tRNA from 1 species